AAGUUGCAAAAACUAAAAGAAGAUAAGCCACAAAACAAAAAGAUAUGUUAAGAAGAGAAGGUACAAGAAGAUACCCUUAAAAGAUCGGUUAUAAGAAGAUAAGCCAAGGUGUUGGUAUUAACAAUAGUCCUGAAAAAAUGGUUGCUCCAUCUAUAACUCAAGAAAGGUAGAGAUUCUGCUGUUAUACCUGCCUAUUGCUGUUGUAAAUACUCCAAAUUUCAGGACAUUUAUUUGCUGAAAAUUUCAAACAAACUAUUUAGAAGCACGGUUUGGUUCUUAUCGAAAGUUUUCGAAUGGAAAUUAUCAUGUAUUAGUCCAAGAGAUAAAAGAAUCAGAAGCAAAAAACAUUAGUUUGUUAAAACAUUAUUUCUACUAAACUGAUUAAAUACAUGCUAACUGAUUUGUAUUUUUUCUAUGUGCUUGGAUGAGUUUUGUUACUUUAUUUUUUAGAAUCUUAUAUCAACUUUGACUUUAUUAUAAAAGUAGAAGGUUUAAAGUUUGUUUUAUGGUUGUUUUUUUCGCUCGGGGGGUGAGUGUGUUACAGUU